rfam:Solanum tuberosum cultivar DM 1-3 516 R44 scf00147_8, whole genome shotgun sequence.
GUGAGAUGGAAUCAGCGUUUUGGACAUGCGAUUUUUACGCUGAUUCCAUCUCAUGA